CAGCAGCUGAAAGAAGGGAAACAGCUCUGUGCUGCCCCAGAACCACAGCUUUGUCUACAGACCAGGAUUCUGAAACCAAAAGAAAAAAUACUUUUUAUCAACCUGUGUCAGUGGACAAGGAUCCCAGCUCCCCAAUCAACCACUCAUCCAGUACCUCUAACUGUUGGCAAACCAGAAGAUACAACUGAGAUAUCAGAUGCUUACACAGUCAUUGAUGUUGCCUACAAUCCUGAUGUUCUUCAUGCAGCAGAAAAGGACCAAGUGAAAAAAAAUCAGUUAAUUCAGAUGGCCAUGAAAUGCAUUGAGGAGAAAUUCCAGUUCACCCUCUCACACUCUUACCAUAUUACCAAAUUUAGAAUAAAAGGAAGCAUUCAAAGAAUGAAACAAAAUCUGAUGGGAAUCCAAACUGAUUCCAUAGAUUUAAGAGAAAAAAUGAGAAGGGGUAAGUUGAUGAUUGUAAAUGGAAAAUUAAACUGCUUUAAGAUGU
rnacentral:lncRNA from 1 species